rnacentral:rRNA from 1 species
GACGAACCGUGCGAACGUUGUUCGGAAUCACUGGGCUUAAAGGGCGCGUAGGCGGGUUCGCAAGUCUGUGGUGAAAGCCUCCAGCUUAACUGGAGAAGUGCCGUGGAUACUGCGAAUCUUGAGGAGGGUAGGGGCGUCUGGAACGGUCGGUGGAGCGGUGAAAUGCGUUGAUAUCGACCGGAACUCCGGUGGCGAAGGCGAGGCGCUGGACCACGACUGACGCUGAAUAGCGAAAGCCAGGGGAGCAAACGGG